GCCAAAUGAACGCACCUCAUCUUUUAUAGGGAACUCUCGCUUCCUCUUGCACAUUUCCGCACUGUUGCGCCUUCAGACCUUCCCAGAUGCAGACGGUCUGUCUGUGCCAGUGUCGUCUCCAUUUCACCAGCGGGAAGAAGCGCUUUUCCCUGCGUAAAAGUUAAACUUUCUCCGUCUGUCUGCAGCCAACACUGUGCGCAACAUCAUGUCUCUGCAGCAGCUCCGAGAUGAAAGUGACUUUGAUCAGCUCCCUCACAACAUCCCCAUCAGUGCCACUAUUGCUGAUAUCGAGGAGAAGAAAGGUUUCAUCGACUACUUUAUGUUUGUGAUCGAGGUGAAGACUAAAGGAGGGAGUAAGUAUCUGAUCUACAGGAGGUACAGAGAAUUUUUCAACCUCCAUCAAAUCCUGGAGGACAGAUACUGUCCUGAAGACCCGGACAAACCUGGGCCCAACACCUGCGUCCUGCCCUCUCUUCCAGGAAAAGUCUACAUUGGAAACAAAAAGGAGAUUGCAGAGAGCAGAAUCCCUGAGCUCAACACGUACAUGAAGAGGUUGCUCGGUCUGCCAGCGUGGCUUCUGCUUGACGAGGAUCUCAGGAUGUUUUUCUACCAGACGGACCAGGACAGUCAGCACCAACCACGAGCCCUCAGGCGUCUCCGUCCACCUACACGCAAAGUGAAAACAGUCGAACCACCAAAGUCGGACCUCUUCUCCUCCCCCCGGGCUGAGGCGAUGUUUGACUUUCGCGGCAACGGCAAGGCAGAGUUGAACCUGAAGAGGGGAGAGGUGAUCUUCCUGCUGCGACGAGUCAACGCCAACUGGCUGGAGGGCACAGUCAACAACCAGACGGGUAUUUUCCCACAAUCCUUUGUGAAGAUCAUCAAACCCCUCCCAGAGAGUGACUCAGAAGGUGAAGGUGGAGCCCACACAUACAGCUGUCUGCACUGUUCCCUGCUCACCCCGUCUGGAGUCCACACCAGAGAUGUGUGUGUACAAGAAGACCUCACCAUCCAGCCAACAUACAAGGACCUACUGUCUCGCAUGAGGCAUAUUGUGCCCUGGAGUAGGAUGGAUGAGACCCUGGUCGGAUGUCUUCAAGGUGGAUGAUAUUGCCCUGAACUACCGCGACCCCGAGGGCGACCUUAUCCGUAUCCUUGACGACGAGGACGUCCAGCUGAUGAUCAAGGAAGGCAGAGAAAUAAGAACCCUCUGCCUCCACCAUGGUCUUCACAUGCUGGUACAUUUUCCACUUGCAUUUAGCAGCUGCUCUCAUCCAAGGAAACUUAACACUGAGUGAGCAGGUGAGGCUGCAGGCCUUGUUCAAGGACACACUCACUGAUGGACAAUAAAGCAGAUCAGCGGUGCUGUUUUGGGAAGGAAAAAUAACCUCAUUGUUUGAGUUACGUGAGUCAAACAAGAAGACCCAGCAUUGGGGAAACUUGAGGAACUGCAUCAACUGUUGGGGAACAUUUUAUUUCUGUCUUUCAAUGUUGGGGAACAUUUUAUUUCUGUCUUUCAAUGUUGGGGAACAUUUUAUUUCUGUCUUUCAAUCUUCCCAGUUUGACAUUCUGCUGCUUUCACUGUCAUCAUCUGUCUCUUUGCAGCUCUUCACCUUGUCAGCCAGAAAUGAUAGACUACUUCAGUAACGUGUACUCCAGUCAACCUUUGCCCAGAAUUCAAUUAUCUGCAUUUAUCUUUGUAGCCGCAUUGGCCCGUUGUACAUCUAAUUAAGCUCAUAAUAAAUGUCAUUAGGACCAAAGUCAUGUCAGCCUGCAAAUCUGCCAUGUACCAUGAACUGGCAGUGAAACGUGUCCUCAAGCAGCAGAGUUGAAAACAAAAGAAAUUUCAUGUUGUAUUUUAACUUAGUCUCUCUAUGCUAUGAUAUAUUGAGCAGUUUUGUAAGUAAUCCAAAUCAGCAGGUUUGAAUGAGGUCAUGUAAACUAUAAGCCGGUCUUCCUCUAGAACACACUUGGAUGUAGCAUCUAAUGAACUGGGAAAGAUGGUGAGCUGAACUGGAACUCAGGGUGUCUGACUGGUUCACUGAAGAUCUGUCAAGUUGAGCAGCAGGCAGUGACAGCGCAGGCCAUUGGAAAAUGUGUUGAGGAAUCUGAUCCACCGGGGACUGACAGUGAGUGAAAAGGACCACAGAGGCUGCGAGGACACAGGCAGGAAACCAGCCAACCGUGAGGCAGGUGACGUUAGCGGAGGUGCUAACAAGGAAAAACCCAGUGGGAGACCCACAGGAGGGCAGUUAUCCUGGGAGACAUGAGACCUGCAGCGCUCGAUGGCACGCCAACAGAACCUGGUGUCUAAAAUUACCAACUCACGGAACAACCUGAGUUUGAAGGAAGUCGGCUCAAACUACUGAAUGCGCUCUUGCACUAAAUAUAGAGUCGCUCAGUGUAGUAGGUUAAUUGAGUCACAUCUUCUAUGGACACACUGGGCCUGCUGAGUCCAUAUAAAUUGUACAGUCACGGUAUGUUCAGGGACGGGUCAAAAGGCUGGAAGAUGUGCAGUCAUGGUGGAAUCUAAAUCUUAACUCUUCUUCUGUUUGAUCCUUCUGUGGCAGAUGGAUUUUUGUCUUUAAAAAUCACUCUAAUUGCCUUUUCACAUGCACCAGUGAUCGUGUGGCACUUGACAUGUGGAAUGUGAAACAGUUUUUGGAUUGUUCUUUCCACAGCUCUUUCAACAACUGAUAAAUGAAUAAAUAUUUCUGCCAGGUAACAGGCUGACAAGGAAACGCUCAAAAGCCACAUAGGAAACAUGAGAAAGAUUUAGUGAAUUAGGAGGGGAGAUCAGCUGACCACUGUGGGAAUAAAACUUGACUUUAGUUUGAUGUGAAAAGACCGAUAAUUUUUUUUUUUUUAACCAGAAGACACAGACAGUGGGGGAAAUGGAGACAAGAUAAUGCCACUGGAGAAAAAGUUACAGGAUCCCCAAAGUUAUUCUAAUUCAUCUGGAGGGGGACAUGAAUGUAUGUACCAAAUGUCAUGGCAGUCCCCUGUAAUAGUUGACUGUCAGCCUCAGGGAUCAACACACAACUGAGUUAGAAAGUGGUCUGCUAGAAAACAUCUACAUGCAGUAACUGCUGGACUGCAGUGGGAGCUGACACUGAAGUAAAUGUCAAAUAGACUGAAAUGGUGUUUUGAAGCAGUGGCUGUUCACCUUCCUGAGUAACAGAAACAGGGAAACGUCGGAGACUGAGCCUAAAUUUACCAACAUGUGGUUGGUGGAUGGUGUUCAUUUCCCUGCACUGUUUCCUGUGUGUCCCUUCACACUCCAUUUGCUUCUUCUUCUUUACUAUCCUGACCUUCUAUUCACCUUCUCUUUUCUCUUCAAUGUUAUUUCUCUCAUUUGGCAACUCCAGUCAUAUAAAUCUUCACUUAGGGGAACGUUUUCUAUUUACAAUAGGUGCUCAGCAUAAAAGGGCAGUUAAAUCAAAUCCUAGUUGCUUCUCCUGCUGCUGUUGUUUUUCACUGCUGUCGUUUUGAGAUUGCUUUUUUCAAAAUCAUAUUAUUCUUCAAUCGAAAUGGCUUUUGCAAGAGUUUUGCGGUGAGGAGAAUAUCCAUUUAAAGUUUCCCAAUAAGCUAAAUCCUGCCAUUAGUUUUAGUUAGGCAGCUUUUGACAAUUAUGUUUUGGACCUUUCUAUAGAAAGUUGAACAUGUACCUUUACAGUAUUAUGUAAAAGAGUGUACAGAUCCGUGCACCAACUGAUUACUGUGUAGCUGCUAAUGAAAUCCCAUGUUUUGAGUGUUGCAUUCAAGCAAACGUAAGUGUUAAAUGCUAACAAGCUUGGAAAGUCUGUCUACUUUGAACACAGUGGUGUUUGAUACUAAGUUAUUCUGUUCAAAAUUUGCAACUGGCACCACAAUCACACACUUUGUUAAAUCACUUCUUUAGUUAUUCAAGCAACACCAUGUAUAGUGUAAUAAUUAACACUGAAUUGAGAUUUGAGAUGCUUACAAAUUGUUGCAGAAAGUAGUGUAUCUGCUAUGGACACUGUUUGUUUGCAUCCCAAUGUUGUUGUUUGUUCAUGUUUGACAAGCAUUUCAUUUGAAGCACACAGUGGAGUGAAAUGUCCCACUUUAUAACAUCAGUAACUGCUGAUCAGUGUCAUGUGUAUUGACAUGUUGAAUUCGGUCAAAGUGCAGCUCUUUAUACAGCACAAUUUUAAAAAAACAUCUUUUGUCUGAGAUGUUUAAAUCACUCCAUUGCUCUUCUGUAUUGAUCACUAUGGGAUGGGCUGCUUUUCUUUGCUGUACUGCUGUGAAGUGCUGCCACUCUUUGGCCUUAAUAAGUUACUGCAGAGUUACUGGACAGCACUAACUGUUGCUGUUAAUUGCUUCUUUCCUGAUUCACAGCUUACAUCAUUUCAUAUCAGUGAGACUUCACAGGUUAUGUUAGAGGGUCCGCGUAUAUUUUGGCAAUUGGAUUU